UACUGUUUAUGAUGAUUGUUAUUAAAACAAUGGGAAUCUCUCUGAUUAAGAGUGAAAGAUGUAUUUUUACUGAAACAGUA